UACGUAGGUGGCGAGCGUUGUCCGGAAUCACUGGGCGUAAAGGGCGCGUAGGCGGCAAUACAAGUCGCAUGUGAAAUUCCAGGGCUCAACCCUGGGGGGUCAUGCGAAACUGUAUGGCUUGAGUGCAGUAGAGGUAAGCGGAAUUCCUGGUGUAGCGGUAAAAUGCGUAGAGAUCAGGAGGAACACCGGUGGCGAAGGCGGCUUACUGGGCUGCAACUGACGCUGAGGCGCGAAAGCGUGGGGAGCAAAC
rnacentral:rRNA from 1 species